AUGUCCCGCCCGUCCCGCGCGCACCCGACGCGCCCGACGAACCCGACCACACACGCCGUGGCUUAUUCCAACACACACCCCCUAAGCCACGGCCUAGAGGAGUCCGUCGUCGUCGACGUUGGCACCGGCCAAGAGAGCCUGCUCCGCCGCCGGUCCUUUCCGCAGCUGCGGGCACUCGCGCCGGAAGUGCCCGUGCUCCCCGCACUUGUAGCAGCGCCUGCGCCUGUUGCCGCCGCUCCCCGACGCCACGCUGCGCCCGUCGUCGUCGUCCCGAGCACCGCCGUGUCGACGCUCCCGCGCUGCCCACUGCGCCGCCGUCAUGAGCAGCUGCUCACCCCCGCGCUCGCCACCGUCUUGUCCACGGCGCCGAACCCGCUCGUCGAACGCACGCAGCCGCCCGAGCGCUUCGUCGAACGCCAUCGUCGUCACGUCGUGGAACUGCUCGAUGCCGGCGACGACGGGGAAGAGGCGAUCCGGCACCGUAUCCAGCAACUUCUUGACAAGUGCUGCGUCGCCCAGCGUCUCCCCGAGGUUGGCAUACCUCGCCGCCAUCGCCGCGAGCCUCCCGCCGUACACAUCGAGCUCCUCGCCGUCCGCCAUCUUCAUCCGGUCGAAUUCGCCGCGCAGCGUCCCCAGCCUCGCCGCACGGACCCGAUCGGCGCCGACGAACCUCACCUUCAGGGAGUCCCAUACCUCCCUGGCGGUGAGCUUCGUCGACACCUGCAGCAGCACAUCCUCCGGCAACGCCCCGAGAAGCAACGCACGCGCCAUCUUGUCCUUCCGCGCGUUCACCGCCGCGUCGCCCGGCGCCACCGCCUCCCAUACGGUGUGGACGUCGAGGAUCGCCUGCGCCUUGAUGGCCCAGACCGUGUAGUUGUCCGCGGUCAGCAUCGACAUCGCCAUCGUCGCCGAUCCGCCCGCGCCACCGCCGUGUGGGACGAGCGCCAUGGUCGUCGGUGA
rnacentral:rRNA from 1 species